rnacentral:tRNA from 1 species
CAUAGCUCAGUUGGUAGAGCGGCUGGCUGUUAACCAGCGUGUCGUAGGUUCAAGUCCUACUGG